rnacentral:rRNA from 1 species
GAAUUGACGGGACCGCACAAGCGGUGGAUGAUGUGGUUUAAUUCGAUGCAACGCGAAAACCUUACCCACCUUUGACAUGUACGGAAGCUUAGAGAUAGAGGCGUGCUCGAAAGAGAGCCGUAACACAGGUGCUGCAUGGCUGUCGUCAGCUCGUGUCGUGAGAUGUUGGGGUUAAGUCCCGCAACGAGCGCAACCCUUGUCAUUAGUUGCUACAUUCAGUUGGGCACUCUAAUGAGACUGCCGGUGACAAGCCGGAGGAAGGUGGGGAUGACGUCAAGUCCUCAUGGCCCUUAUAGGUGGGGCUACACACGUCAUACAAUGGCUGGUACAAAGGGUUGCCAACCCGCGAGGGGGAGCUAAUCCCAUAAAGCCAGUCGUAGUCCGGAUCGUAGUCUGCAACUCGACUACGUGAAGUCGGAAUCGCUAGUAAUCGUGGAUCAGAAUGUCACGGUGAAUACGUUCCCGGGUCUU